rnacentral:rRNA from 1 species
GACGAACGCUGGCGGCGUGCCUAAUACAUGCAAGUAGAACGCACAGUUUAUACCGUAGCUUGCUACACCAUAGACUGUGAGUUGCGAACGGGUGAGUAACGCGUAGGUAACCUGCCUGGUAGCGGGGGAUAACUAUUGGAAACGAUAGCUAAUACCGCAUAAUAUUAAUUAUUGCAUGAUAAUUAAUUGAAAGGUGCAAUUGCACCACUACCAGAUGGACCUGCGUUGUAUUAGCUAGUAGGUGAGGUAACGGCUCACCUAGGCGACGAUACAUAGCCGACCGGAGAGGGUGAUCGGCCACACUGGGACUGAGACACGGCCCAGACGCCUACGGGAGGCAGCAGUAGGGAAUCUUCGGCAAUGGACGAAAGUCUGACCGAGCAACGCCGCGUGAGUGAAGAAGGUUUUCGGAUCGUAAAGCUCUGUUGUAAGAGAAGAACGGGUGUGAGAGUGGAAAGUUCACACUGUGACGGUAUCUUACCAGAAAGGGACGGCUAACUACGUG